AAUCUGCCCUCAGGUUCNGAAUAACAGCGAGAAAUUGCUGCUAAUACCGGAUGAUAUCGCGAGAUCAAAGAUUUAUCGCCUGAGGAUGAGCCCGCGUAGGAUUAGCUAGUUGGUGUGGAAAAGGCGCACCAAGGCGACGAUCCUUAGCUGGUCUGAGAGGAUGAUCAGCCACACUGGGACUGAGACACGGCCCAGACCCCUACGGGAGGCAGCAGUGGGGAAUAUUGGACAAUGGGCGAAAGCCUGAUCCAGCAAUGCCGCGUGAGUGAUGAAGGCCUUAGGGUUGUAAAGCUCUUUUACCCGGGAUGAUAAUGACAGUACCGGGAGAAUAAGCUCC
rnacentral:rRNA from 1 species